rnacentral:rRNA from 1 species
CGGGUGAGUAGCACGUGGAUAACCUACCUAUAAGACUGGGAUAACUUCGGGAAACCGGAGCUAAUACCGGAUAAUAUAUUGAACCGCAUGGUUCAAUAGUGAAAGACGGUUUUGCUGUCACUUAUAGAUGGAUCCGCGCCGCAUUAGCUAGUUGGUAAGGUAACGGCUUACCAAGGCAACGAUGCGUAGCCGACCUGAGAGGGUGAUCGGCCACACUGGAACUGAGACACGGUCCAGACUCCUACGGGAGGCAGCAGGA